CGAAGUCUGCCACUCAACCGACUGAGCCACCCAGGCGCCCCUAGAAUGUUUUGGUCAUCACUGUAUCUUCAGUGUAUCCUACUGUCUAGCAGCAUUGUCCAAUAGAACUCUUUGUAGUGAUGGAAAUGUUCUAUAAUCUACAUUGUCUAAAUGGUAGCUGCUAGCUACAGACAAGUGGUUGCAGCCAAAGCCCAGCAAGCUUUAUGGCCAAGCCCACAUAUCAUAUAAAAAGAACCAGCUGGAUCCUUCUGUAGCAGCCUCAUGGACCACACUCGGGGAUCCACUCUCUUCUCUACUCCCAAAGCUUGGUGUGGCCACUGCAGGCUCUGACCUCUGACAAUGUGUGCUUGAGCCACGUCAUUCUUCUUUCCCUUCUUCCUCAGGCCGCAAAUGUUGGCAGACUGGCCAGUAGCAGGUGGGGUAUAAUCUGGCUUGAGAGAGAAAAAUAUUCCAAUUCUGCUGACUCUACCCUCUAGUUUUGUGUUACUGUGUCUCCCAGUGGUGGUACUGGUAGUAAUGAUGA